rnacentral:lncRNA from 1 species
UUUUUUAUAAUUUUAAUAUAUAUAAAGAUCAUUGUACUUAAGUUUAAAUUUUCAAGAAAACAUAAAGCUAAAGAGCCAUCAACUUCAUAGUUAUUUUUCUCUCCUUUUUUGACUUUAAAGUGUUGGAAGUGUGAGAGGUGAGGAAAUGUAAUGCCUGUAUGAAUUAUAAAAUGCAUGGCAUACCUGAGUACAUUUGUUCAUGUUUCUUUUGGAUAACAAAAAAAA